GGGGAAUAUUGCACAAUGGGCGAAAGCCUGAUGCAGCGACGCCGCGUGAGGGAUGGAGGCCUUCGGGUUGUAAGCCUCUUUCGCUCAUGGUCAAGCCGCAGCUUUGGGUUGUGGUGAGGGUAGUGGGUAAAGAAGCGCCGGCUAACUACGUGCCAGCAGCCGCGGUAAUACGUAGGGCGCGAGCGUUGUCCGGAAUUAUUGGGCGUAAAGGGCUUGUAGGCGGUUGGUCGCGUCUGCCGUGAAAUCCUCUGGCUUAACUGGGGGCGUGCGGUGGGUACGGGCUGACUUGAGUGCGGUAGGGGAGACUGGAACUCCUGGUGUAGCGGUGGAAUGCGCAGAUAUCAGGAAGAACACCGGUGGCGAAGGCGGGUCUCUGGGCCGUUACUGACGCUGAGGAGCGAAAGCGUGGGGAGCGAACAGGAUUAGAUACCCUGGUAGUCCACGCUGUAAACGUUGGGCACUAGGUGUGGGGGCCACCCGUGGUUUCUGCGCCGUAGCUAACGCUUUAAGUGCCCCGCCUGGGGAGUACGGCCGCAAGGCUA
rnacentral:rRNA from 1 species